GGAACAUUAGUUAGUUGGUAGGGUAAUGGCCUACCAAGACGAUGAUGUUUAGCCGGGCCGAGAGGCUGUACGGCCACACUGGGACUGAGAUACGGCCCAGACUCCUACGGGAGGCAGCAGUAAGGAAUUUUCCACAAUGAGCGAAAGCUUGAUGGAGCGACACAGCGUGCAGGAUGAAGUUCUUCGGAAUGUAAACUGCUGUUAUAAGGGAAGAAAAAAUAGAAUAGGAAAUGAUUUUAUCUUGACGGUACCUUAUUAGAAAGCGACGGCAAACUAUGUGCCAGCAGCCGCGGUAAUACAUAGGUCGCAAGCGUUAUCCGGAAUUAUUGGGCGUAAAGCGUCCGUAGGUUUUUUGCUAAGUCUGGAGUUAAAUGCUGAAGCUCAACUUCAGUCCGCUUUGGAUACUGGCAAAAUAGAAUUAUAAAGAGGUUAGCGGAAUUCCUAGUGAAGCGGUGGAAUGCGUAGAUAUUAGGAAGAACACCAAUAGGCGAAGGCAGCUAACUGGUUAUAUAUUGGCACUAAGGGACGAAAGAGUGGGGAGCAAACAGGCUUAGAUACCAUGGUAGUCCACGCCGGAAACGAUGACAAAGAGUUGGCGGAAGAAGUUAACAAACGAAGCGAAC
rnacentral:rRNA from 1 species